ACCAGCGUUGCCAUCCUGAUUCUCUUUGUUUUACCAUGUGGCCAUCACCCACGAGGUAGACCAACCCAUUGCCAUCAAAAUCUGGCAGAGAGUGGUCAGAAUAACUUCUGCAGAUGACCAGGCCAAUCUCUUCUUACUUUCUUUGGGUAAAGAUCCUGAGUAAGAAGCAUCUUAGAACUUAGGGUCCUUGAACUGCUGAAGAACCUUGACAUAAAGGAUUGAAAUGAUGAAAGAAUCUACGAGCACCAUCCAAGUCUUCUACAGAGGUAUCAGGAGGAAGGAGGAGCCCAGUUGUGCUGCCUUCAGGUCUCCAGGUUGGGUUUGAGCACAAGCUACCAGGUGUCAAGAAAUGGUUCUGCAGAGCACUCACACUGAGAAACUCUUGAUUUCCUUGAUCUCUUCUAGUAGGCUUCAGCCUUUUGCAACUAAUGGCUACAGGAUUGAAAUGCUGUUGUUCACAAGUUGGGGUAUACUCUGGUUGUGAGCACUAGCAACGCAGAAGGGAGGCAGCCAUGUGCUUGUUGAGUUCUGAUUAGUGUAUGUCAGGCCUCUGACCAGCUUUUGGCAGCCUGUAUGAAUGGAACAAGCAAGUCUCAGAAUGUCUGUUGGGUGCAGAAUGAAGUUUCAAUCCUGGACUCUGUGCUCUGCAAUGACUUACUGUUGAACUGUUGUCACCUUUGACUAUGACAGUGAACUGCAGCACAUGUGAUGAAGAGGACUAAGAGCUCUAGCAGCUUGGUGUCUAAAGAAUAAAUCCACAUUGUAGAUUGUCUCACUUGUUACAUGCAUUGAGGCUCAGCCUGCUGGAGAUUUGUCCCAUUUUAGGAAUUACAUGGUUCAUGUGAUAAGGGCUGUUAACACUGCCCACUGCCAAGAAUAUGAUGGUGAAAGAGGAAAUGCGAAUGUUCCUACAGUUCAAACUCUUGUCUGCACCUCUAUGUACAUUAAUGGAUGUUAUUAGUAUUUAAGGCACUAAAAAAUACUGCUUCCUCAGGCCAAAUACAGUGUGUCCUAUAUAA